GAGUUUGAUCCUGGCUCAGGAUGAACGCUAGCGGCAGGCUUAACACAUGCAAGUCGAGGGGCAGCACGGGUAGCAAUACUUGGUGGCGACCGGCAAACGGGUGCGGAACACGUACGCAAUCUACCAUUAUCUGGGGCAUAGCCCGAAGAAAUUCGGAUUAACACCCCAUAAUAUAUUUUGAAGGCAUCUUUAGAAUACUAAAACUCCGGUGGAUAAUGAUGAGCGUGCGUCCCAUUAGCUAGUUGGUAGGGUAACGGCCUACCAAGGCGACGAUGGGUAGCUGGUGUGAGAGCACGACCAGCCACACGGGCACUGAGACACGGGCCCGACUCCUACGGGAGGCAGCAGUGAGGAAUAUUGGUCAAUGGACGCAAGUCUGAACCCAGCCAUGCCGCGUGAAGGAUGAAGGCCUUCUGGGUUGUAAACUUCUUUACUAGGGAAGAAACCUCCGAUUUCUAUUGGAGCCGACGGUACCUAGGGAAUAAGCACCGGC
rnacentral:rRNA from 1 species